AGUGUGAGAAACACUCUCGCCGUAAGUCCAAGGGUUCCUGCGCAAGGCUAAUCCGCGCAGGGUGAGUCGGCCCCUAAGACGAGGGUGAAAGCCGUAGUCGAUGGGAAUCAGGUUAAUAUUCCUGAACCUGGUGGUAGUGACGGACGCCGGAAGUAGUCUCCUCUUACUGGAUUGAGGGGGCUGCCUGGGCGUUCCAGGAAAUAGCUCCACCGUUAAGACCGUACCCGAAACCGACACAGGUGGACUGGUAGAGAAUACCGAGGCGCUUGAGGGAACUAUGUUGAAG
rnacentral:rRNA from 1 species